rnacentral:rRNA from 1 species
GAUGAACGCUAGCUACAGGCUUAACACAUGCAAGUCGAGGGGAAACGACAUCGAAAGCUUGCUUUUGAUGGGCGUCGACCGGCGCACGGGUGAGUAACGCGUAUCCAACCUGCCCACCACUUGGGGAUAACCUUGCGAAAGUAAGACUAAUACCCAAUGACGUCUCUAGAAGACAUCUGAAAGAGAUUAAAGAUUUAUCGGUGAUGGAUGGGGAUGCGUCUGAUUAGCUUGUUGGCGGGGUAACGGCCCACCAAGGCGACGAUCAGUAGGGGUUCUGAGAGGAAGGUCCCCCACAUUGGAACUGAGACACGGUCCAAACUCCUACGGGAGGCAGCAGUGAGGAAUACUGGUCAAUGGACGAGAGUCUGAACCAGCCAAGUAGCGUGCAGGAUGACGGCCCUAUGGGUUGUAAACUGCUUUUAUAAGGGAAUAAAGUGAGUCUCGUGAGACUUUUUGCAUGUACCUUAUGAAUAAGGACCGGCUAAUUCCGUG